GGCCGCGGUAUCCUAACCGUGCAAAGGUAGCAUAAUCACUUGUCCCCUAAAUAGGGACUAGAAUGAACGGUUAAAUGAGGGCAUCACUGUCUCUUACAUUCGACCAAUAAACCUGAUCUUUCAGUCCAAAAGCUGGAAUAAACUCAUAAGACGAGAAGACCCUGUGGAGCUUCUAAACCAAGUCCACACCGCCUUCAUGCCACCUUGGUUUUUAGUUGGGGCGACUUCGGAGCACAAACAACCCUCCAACUACGGAACCUCCCUUCUAGAUCUACACAUCAAAAAACACCCCGCCGACCCAGUAGCUUUAACUAAGCUAUCUGAUCAACGAACCAAGUUACCCCAGGGAUAACAGCGCCAUCCUCUUCUAGAGUCCCUAUCGACAAGAGGGUUUACGACCUCGAUGUUGGAUCAGGACACCCCUAUAGUGCAGCCGCUAUAAAAGGU
rnacentral:rRNA from 1 species